UACACUCCUGCGGGAGGCAGCAGUGGGGAAUAUUGGACAAUGGGCGCAAGCCUGAUCCAGCCAUGCCGCGUGAGUGAUGAAGGCCCUAGGGUUGUAAAGCUCUUUCACCGGAGAAGAUAAUGACGGUAUCCGGAGAAGAAGCCCCGGCUAACUUCGUGCCAGCAGCCGCGGUAAUACGAAGGGGGCUAGCGUUGUUCGGAAUUACUGGGCGUAAAGCGCACGUAGGCGGAUCGAUCAGUCAGGGGUGAAAUCCCAGGGCUCAAACCUGGAACUGCCUUUGAUACUGUCGAUCUGGAGGAAGGAAGAGGUGAGUGGAAUUCCGAGUGUAGAGGGGAAAUUCGUAGAUAUUCGGAGGAACACCAGUGGCGAAGGCGGCUCACUGGUCCAUUACUGACGCUGAGGUGCGAAAGCGUGGGGAGCAAACAGGAUUAGAUACCCUUGUAGUCCCAUGA
rnacentral:rRNA from 1 species